GGUUGAGCUCUUCGCGCUUACCUCAACUAUUAAAAGUGAUCAAGUUUAACUUUAAUUUUGUUUAAGCCUAAAGCAAUUAGGCACACCUUUAUUAGGUCAGUAAAAAUGGAAUUAACUUGGACAAUUAGUGUAAAGAAUUAACAAUUUGGUAAAUUUAUCCCUUUUGUUCACUUUUAAUAUUUAACUUCACCAUAAUGUAAAGCAAACAUCGUACUGAAUACAAUUGAAAGUUUAUUAAGGUGUAUAUAAUAGUAAUGAUGAUUAUGGACCCAACCAAUUGAAUAUGAAUUGAAUUUGCUCCAAUUAAAAGAAAUAAUAAUUCUAGUAAGUCAACAGGUUACAAUUGAUUCAAUUGAAAGUAUUUCAAAUUCACAGAUUGGAAAACCGUUUGAAAGACAAAACAAAAGGAAACAAAAGCUACAUCAGGUCAACAUUCAAUCGUUAAUUACUCAUAUAACUGAUUGAAUAUCAUUAACAUGAGAUAACAUCAUAAAAUUUAUGAUACCAAUCAUUAUAAUUAUUUAACUCACCCGAUGAACUUCGAGUAAAUAAUAUUGUAUUGAUACAGGUACAGAAAUAAAGUGACCAAGUGCAUUAUAAAAACGCAAUUGUUUAACUCUUCCUACAGUGACCUUAACUCUGUAACUGUGACUGUGAUUGUGACUCUAAUUAAUGUUGGGUAGCUUUAAUUUGACAAAUUAAUUUCAAAAUUGAGUUUCACAGCAAAUUUAGUUGAAUUAAGCUACUAGAUUCUGAAUGAGGAAGACCUUUCCGAGUGCUGUAUCAGGAAGCCAUGUUUCCAUUCUCAGAUUAUGUUUACUUAUUCCCAAUUCAUUCAUCACUUUUCAUCCUCAUCUGUACAACAAUUAAAAUCGUGAUUAAGAUAAAAAAAGCUCUUCUCACCAAAAUCAUUGUUAUCAUCAUUAUUUUCAAUGUUUAACUCACUUCCCAACUCGGUGUCUGGGUAAAGGUUACUCUGGUUGUUACCCAAAAACUGGUUAGCGUUGGCGUCUCAACAAUCUCAGCUUUAAAUCAGGAAUUAACCAGUAAAUUUAACAUCAUAAUAUGUUGUGAAAAAAAGCUUGAUGAUUAAGAAUCACAUAAGAUGCGUUUCUUGGGCCAACAACAAAAACGGAAGGUGAAAAUUAUUCAAGGAAGAGAUCUAAUGUCACAGACCCAAUGAUGAUGAUGAUAAUGAUGAACCUGAUUAUGAUGAUUAUGGUUGCAUUUGACCUUCAGAUGACAAUUGAAAGUGACAUUUGGCUGGUGAAAGUGACAGAUUAAGUAUGCAAAGUUAAUGCUUAGUUGACCUUAGAUGUUUUAUCAACGGUCGACUGGUCAACCGAUUCUCAUUAUUAAAUUAGUAAUAAAACGUUUUCCUUUGCAACAAUUGAAUCAAGUUGAGAUGAGAAAAAACAAGGAAGUUAAUCAACGGUGAAAAUAAUUCAAGUAAAAUUAUCAAUGUUUUUUGCAGGCUUUUGUUUUGUUUUUAACUUGCUAUAAGAUACCCUAAGGAGCUUUGAGAAUGAAAACAUUAUUUAACUUGAUUGUAAUAUCCAUUAAAAUAAACUCAAUUUGCUUGAUUUUCUUCUCAUCCAAUUUAAAAUCCAAACCAGGAAACUAUUGUAUGUUAAUGUUAAGAAAUUAACUGAUCAGAAUUGGUUGAAAUUGUUCGUGUUUGCCAUUGAAAUGAAAUGAUAUUACAUUGAAGAUGUCAAUUGGACAAUUGACUGCAGAGUUUACAUAUUCUGUCAUUUUUAUCCUUAUAUUUGGCAAUUGUGCUUGUCUUAUUGUCCAAUUAAUUGGUAGGGUUGAUUAAUUGUCAUCUUGUAAUGGGCUUAAUGAAUCUUUCGGGUCCAAUCAGUUGGUUGUGUAUUGCUAUGGUAGAGAGUUGCUUUCAUCAAUCAUUUUGUUUUACUCUUCUCGGAUUCUCUUCGUUUUAUUUCUUCUCCUUUUAUUAUUGUGUUAUCAUUUAUUUUUCAUUAUUAUUAGUAUUUUCCUUUUGAUUGACGUUUUAUUAUCUGAUGAUUGUAAUGAUUAUUGUGAAAGUAUUGCAUGUUUCACUGAAUUUUCAAUUGAAAUCAACUCUUUUCGCUGUUAACCUUAACCUUAUGGGAAGUUAGGCUUGCUUCAUUGAAAGUGAACAAGUUAGCAAUUGUUAAGGUUAAUCAACUGAUCAUCAAAUUGACCAGGAAAAUGAUUUAAAGAUCAUUGGCCUUUACCUUAAAAUAAAAGCCUAAUAAGCAUCACAUAAUUUUACCAAAUGUUAAUCAGCUUAUUGUUUGCAUUUUGUUUAAUUGGUAUUGGGAUGCAUUUUGAGAUUUUCCUGGUUUUCCGGUUCAAAUUGUAAAUACUUUUGCUUUUAAAUUCAAAAUUAAUCAAUUAAAAAGUGCUUUAAUCAUUUAAAUUGAGGUAGGAUUUAUAUUUUCAUCAAGAAUAGAAAAUUUGAAAAAGGUAUUUUGAUUAUAAUAAAAAGAUACCUUUAAUAUUGAGCAUCUUCAUUGUUGAUCAUUUACAAAGAUUCAUUAUUGUAUCAAAGAUUGGCUCAAGUUUUGUUAGAUGUUAUUCAAUGCAUUUCAAUAAUAAUAAUAAUUAAUUAUAAUCAACUUAAUCGUGUUCAAGGUUGAUAAGCCUUCAAGCUGAUUUGGCAACAGCACUUUGUUAAUCAAAUUGGUUGUCCAAUUUGACUAUGAUCAAUGUACAAAUGUAAUGUCAUUCAAAUUACACCAACAAAUAAAUGAUUAAAUCAACUGGUAGUUGGUUAACAUUACAGAUUUGGUUUCAUCAUGAAAUCAAUCACUACAAUCAAAUUAGCCAAUUGUUUGCUUCAGCUCGGUUCAGAUCAAUUCUCACGAUCGCAAAAAUCCGCAAUAAAAUUUGACUUAAUUUAAUUUUUAAGAUGAUCAAUCAGUCCAUUCAAUUGACUCAGACGCUUUCCUUUUAUGAUUGUAUAUUGAUUGUACAUUGAGUGUGAGAAUCAAAUUGUCAACUUAAUGAUCAUCUAAGAUCGGCAUGCUUAAACAAAUGGAUUACAUUUUAAUUACAGUGAAACCUCGCUUAAUGCAUAAAAUCAUGGGGUUUUUAAUCAAUCGACCAGAGGUGGCGUUGCAAUUAACCAAUUCAAUUGGUCCAAUUCAAAAUAUUUUUUUUUA